rnacentral:rRNA from 1 species
AACGUAGGUGGCGAGCGUUAUCCGGAUUUACUGGGCGUAAAGCGUGUGCAGGUGGCCUGUUAAGUGGUGUAUGAAAUCGCCCGGCUCAACCGGGCGGGGUUAUGCCAGACUGGCAGGCUAGAGGGUGGGAGAGGGAUGUGGAAUUCCGGGUGUAGUGGUGAAAUGCGUAGAGAUCCGGAGGAACCCCAGAGGCGAAGGCGGCAUCCUGGCCCACGACUGACGCUGAGGCGCGAAAGCUAGGGGAGCAAACAGG